UGUGAACUCGAAGAGUAGGGCGGGACACGUGGUAUCCUGUCUGAAUAUGGGGGGACCAUCCUCCAAGGCUAAAUACUCCUGACUGACCGAUAGUGAACCAGUACCGUGAGGGAAAGGCGAAAAGAACCCCGGCGAGGGGAGUGAAAAAGAACCUGAAACCGUGUACGUACAAGCAGUGGGAGCACCUUCGGGUGUGACUGCGUACCUUUUGUAUAAUGGGUCAGCGACUUAUAUUCUGUAGCAAGGUUAACCGUAUAGGGGAGCCGCAGGGAAACCGAGUCUUAACUGGGCGUUAAGUUGCAGGGUAUAGACCCGAAACCCGGUGAUCUAGCCAUGGGCAGGUUGAAGGUUGGGUAACACUAACUGGAGGACCGAACCGACUAAUGUUGAAAAAUUAGCGGAUGACUUGUGGCUGGGGGUGAAAGGCCAAUCAAACCGGGAGAUAGCUGGUUCUCCCCGAAAGCUAUUUAGGUAGCGCCUCGUGAACUCAUCUUCGGGGGUAGAGCACUGUUUCGGCUAGGGGGUCAUCCCGACUUACCAACCCGAUGCAAACUACGAAUACCGAAGAAUGUUAUCACGGGAGACACACGGCGGGUGCUAACGUCCGUCGUGAAGAGGGAAACAACCCAGACCGCCAGCUAAGGUCCCAAAGUCAUGGUUAAGUGGGAAACGAUGUGGGAAGGCACAGACAGCCAGGAUGUUGGCUUAGAAGCAGCCAUCAUUUAAAGAAAGCGUAAUAGCUCACUGGUCGAGUCGGCCUGCGCGGAAGAUGUAACGGGGCUAAACCAUGCACCGAAGCUGCGGCAGCGACACUAUGUGUUGUUGGGUAGGGGAGCGUUCUGUAAGCCUGCGAAGGU
rnacentral:rRNA from 1 species